CCGAUAUAUAUUGUCACUAGGCAUUGUUAUUGUAGGUCCCUGUGCUGCCUCCUGCAGUUGCUUUAAUUGUCCUUCAUAGCCUUUUACUUUACCAUUCAGUUCCUCUAGCUUAUCAUUCCUGUUCUUCAAGGCCUCUUUGACCUCAGCUAGCUCAGACUUUAGAUCUUCCACUUCAAAAUCAAGAAAAGGGUCUUUCUGAUCUUUAUUGCUGAGGAGUCCAGGCAGAUGAAUACUGUCUGUUUCACCACUAACUGCGCUAUCAGGCUCCGGGCGAUCAUAAAGGUUGUUCAGCCAAGUGACCAACAUCUUACUGGCAUCUUCUUGAACAGUCAGCUUUAGGUUUUCGUUCACACGUGCCAGGGAGGACUGAAGAUCUAUCACCGAUCGUGUAAGUCUAAACAAUUCUUCCUCAAAAAACUGCAUUUUCUUCUCAUGUGGUGGAGGUUCUGGCACUUCUGUUGGUUCAGCAUCCAGGCCUUUCUUCACAAUAGCUUUUGCUGGUGUUGUGGGCCGACGAGCUGCCCUGGGCUGUUCUGAUGGCCCUUCUCUGCAGUCUUCACCUUUGUACCCGGGACAGCAUCUCCAUUCUAGCUCUGUCACGGUCUUAUAUGCAACCGUGUACCGAGGUCUGAAACUUGUUCGGUAUACCGGGGUCGGCCGGCAGGGAAACUCGUUCCAGGCGCACUUGUACUGGGCCUGGACGUAGCUCUCGGUCCCGUCCAGCACCGAGCAGCUGACGUUCUUGUUCACGAUGUACGCGCACCAGUUCUUGCUGCGGGAGCCCGGGCGGGAGUAGCGCAGGUGCGGGGUGGCGUGGCUGAGCCCGGCGCCCAAGGCGAGGAGCAGCGGCAGCGCCCAGCCCGAGGGCGCAGCGGGCCCGGGGCACAGCUCCAUGGGGCGAGUCCCUCUCCGCCGGCUCCCUCCGUCCGUCUGUCCGCC
rnacentral:lncRNA from 1 species